rnacentral:rRNA from 1 species
AGCGAACGCUGGCGGCAUGCCUUACACAUGCAAGUCGAACGGUAACAGGUCUUCGGAUGCUGACGAGUGGCGAACGGGUGAGUAAUACAUCGGAACGUGCCCGAGAGUGGGGGAUAACGAGGCGAAAGCUUUGCUAAUACCGCAUACGAUCUCAGGAUGAAAGCGGGGGACCGCAAGGCCUUGCGCUCACGGAGCGGCCGAUGGCAGAUUAGGUAGUUGGUGGGAUAAAAGCUACCAAGCCGACGAUCUGUAGCUGGUCUGAGAGGACGACCAGGCACACUGGGACUGAGACACGGACCAGACUCCUACGGGAGGCAGCGGUGGGGAAUUUUGGACAAUGGGCGCAAGCCUGAUCCAGCCAUGCCGCGUGCAGGAUGAAGGCCUUCGGGUUGUAAACUGCUUUUGUACGGAACGAAAAGACUCUGGUUAAUACCUGGGGUCCAUGACGGUACCGUAAGAAUAAGCACCGGCUAACUACGUGCCAGCCGCCGCAGUAAGAC